rnacentral:rRNA from 1 species
AUUGAACGCUGGCGGCAGGCCUAACACAUGCAAGUCGAGCGAGCGGCGGACGGGUGAGUAAUGUCUGGGAAACUGCCUGAUGGAGGGGGAUAACUACUGGAAACGGUAGCUAAUACCGCAUACCAUCAGAUGUGCCCAGAUGUGAAUAGUGAGUAGGUGGGGUAACGGCUCACCUAGGCGACGAUCCCUAGCUGGUCUGAGAGGAUGACCAGCCACACUGGAACGGAGACACGGUCCAGACGCCUACGGGAGGCAGCAGUGGGUAAUAUUGGACAAUGGGCGAAAGCCUGAUGCGGCCAUGCCUCGUGUGUGAAGAAGGCCUUCGGGUUGUAAAGCACUUUCAGCGGGGAGGCGUUACCCGCAGAGUAAGCACCGGCUAACUCCGUGCCAGCAGCCGCGGUAAUAC